rnacentral:rRNA from 1 species
GCGAACCUUUACAAUGCACGAAGUGUGAUAAGGCAACUCCUUGUGCUUAUACCAAAGAUAGGUCUUUUUAGUAUGUAAUGUAUACUAAGAAUAAGUGAUGGGCAAGACCGGUGCCAGCAGCCGCGGUAAUACCGGCGUCACAAGUGGAGAUCGCGAUUACUGGGUCUAAAGUGUUCGUAGCUGGUCAUAUAAGUCUCUUGUAGAAAGUUCUGUAGCUUAACUCAGAAUUGACAAGGA